rnacentral:sRNA from 1 species
GCCGGGCAUGGUGGCUCAUUCCUGUAAUCCCAGCAGCCCCGGAGGCUGAGGCAGGAGGAUCGUGAGUUCGAAGCUAGUCUCAGUAAAAAUGAGGUGUUAAGCAACUCAGUGAGACCCUAUCUUGA